GUGUCAGCAGCCGCGGUAAGACGGAGGAUGCAAGCGUUAUCCGGAAUGAUUGGGCGUAAAGCGUCCGCAGGUGGCAAUUCAAGUCUGCUGUUAAAGCGCAGGGCUUAACUCUGUAAAGGCAGUGGAAACUGAAUAGCUAGAGUGUGGUAGGGGCAGAGGGAAUUCCCAGUGUAGCGGUGAAAUGCGUAGAGAUUGGGAAGAACAUCGGUGGCGAAGGCGCUCUGCUGGACCAUAACUGACACUCACAGGACGAAAGCUAGGGGAGCGAAUGGGAUUAGAUACCCCCGUAGUCC
rnacentral:rRNA from 1 species